CAAUGAGAAGCAUAGAAAUUGUGGAAUCUACACACCGUGGGGAAACAACUGUGAACACCUUGUGACAUAUGUACGCUAUGGAGAGUCCAGUUCAAAACAGAGAGGAACGAUUGUUCGAGCAGUCUGCCAAGCCGUUAAUCAAUGUGCUAAGUACUGUCCUCUUCUCCCAGGUGUGCCAAUCUGAGACCUUCUCUCACAUAAAUGCAGGUCUUACUUAAAAUAAAAGAAAGAAAGAAAGA